rnacentral:rRNA from 1 species
GACCUCACUUCAGGUGAG